AUGAUGGCUACCCACCCAGCUCAGGAAUCUUCGCUGCACUGCUGGCCUCUGUGUGACCCUGAGAAAGUCCCUCCCCUCUCUGGUCUCUGCUUUUCCCUUCCGUCAGAGUGGUUCAGCAGGCAGCAGAGGGUGCUGCUGCAUAGUGAUGUGUGUUGUAGCAAUCAGCUACUGCUGCAUGACAAACUAUCCCCAAACUUAGUGGUUGACAACCUUAGUCAUUUGGCUGCUUACAGUCCUGCGAUUUGGGCUGGGCUCAGCUGGGCAGUUUUUCUGGACUUAACAACUAUCUGGCACUCAUCAGAACUCAAAGGGGCUCAUAGUCAGAGGUGGCCUCGCUCACACAUCUGGAUCUGGACCCGUGCCGUCAGCAGCAGGGGGUCCGUUCCCCUCCGCGUGGCCUCCCCAGCAGGCCGGCCUAGGCUUCUCCUGGUGACCGGGUGCCCAGAGGGCAGCCCCCGUGUACCUGUGCCCAUCCGACCUCUUCUUGCUUCACACUGCGGAUGCUCCAUUGGUCGAGGCCAGCCACGUGGCCAGGCCAAGAACCUGAUGGGAGAGGACUGCAGGAAGGCCUCAAUACCGGGAGGUGUGAUCGACUGUGUGAGGAGAGCAUGGUACCAAGAAAGGCCUGGCACGUUGUUACUCGGCGCCCAUGUAGGGCCGACCCCGGCAGAUCGGCGGCAUCUGAGGGACUUGCUGAGCUCUGGCUGUUGUAGUUCUCAAAGCCCCGCCCACUUGCCAGGCACUGCAAUGGCCCUCUGUGCCACAGACGCCCUCUCAGAGGGCUUGGGAGGCAUGAGUGGGAUGGGGCCUCCACAGCCCCCGAGCCACAGUCUCCAGAGACAAGAGGCAGCAGAAUUCAUGUGUAUGCAGUUGAAGUACUUUUUGAGCACCUGCUGUGUGCCAGGCUUAGCUCUCCGGCUGGGGGUAGUGAGGAAUCCCGCUGGCUGUGGGAGCAUCCAGCAUCUGGGAGGACUUGGGGCAGGAGGGGGCUACCAAGAGGGUCAGCAACUCACCCCAAUGGCCCACGCAGUGUUGCCCACCAGCCCUGGGCCUACACCCCACCAUCUCUCCACUCCCUUCUCCUUGCCCUCGUCACUCCCACCAUCCAGCCUCAAGGACACCGCCCUGCUGCCCUCCCCACACCCUGUUGUCAUCUGUCCCUCUGCUGCUGCGCCCCCUUGGAAUAAAAUUCUCUGUGGCUUCUCCUGA
rnacentral:lncRNA from 1 species